AGAAAUCGUGGUCUCUAACAUAGGCCAUGGAUGACGGUACCGGACUAAGAAGCACCGGCUAACUACGUGCCAGCAGCCGCGGUAAUACGUAGGGUGCGAGCGUUAAUCGGAAUUACUGGGCGUAAAGCGUGCGCAGGCGGUUUUGUAAGACAGAUGUGAAAUCCCCGGGCUUAACCUGGGAACUGCGUUUGUGACUGCAAGGCUAGAGUACGGCAGAGGGGGUGGAAUUCCUGGUGUAGCAGUGAAAUGCGUAGAGAUCAGGAGGAACACCGAUGGCGAAGGCAGCCCCCUGGGCCUGUACUGACGCUCAUGCACGAAAGCGUGGGGAGCAAACAGGAUUAGAUACCCGGGUAGUCCACGCCCUAAACGAUGUCGACUAGUCGUUCGGAGCAGCAAUGCACUGAGUGACGCAGCUAACGCGUGAAGUCGACCGCCUGGGGAGUACGGCCGCAAGGUUAAAACUCAAAGGAAUUGACGGGGACCCGCACAAGCGGUG
rnacentral:rRNA from 1 species